rnacentral:misc_RNA from 1 species
GAUGAAGAACGCAGUGAAAUGCGAUAAGUAAUGUGAAUUGCAGAAUUCAGUGAAUCAUCGAAUCUUUGAACGCAUCUUGCGCUCCUUGGUAUUCUGAGGAGCAUGCCUGUUUGAGUGUCAUUAAAUUCUCAACCGCACUGACUUUGAAUUGGUGUGGCUUGGAUUUGGGGGGAAAAUUGUUGUGGGCUUUUUUGUAAAGUCUGCUCCCCUGAAAUUGAUUAGCGGUACCUUUGUGGAACUGUCUACAGGUGUGAUAAUUAUCUACAUCCUAGACAUCUGCUGGAAUGCUGCUUUCUAAACCUUACUUGUAUUGACAAUCUUGACCUCAAAUCAGGUAGGACUACCCGCUGAACUUAAGCAUAUCAAUAAGCGGAGGA